CGGAGACGAGUGUCCUAUCAGCGGCGUGUCGGAGCCAGUGUCACCUGCAGGAGGACAAGGAGGCGAAAAAGGGCAGCAGCUGAUCAGCCUCCCAGGAGCACCCCCAUCGGCAGCAGGGGGAAGGCACUGCCUGGUGCAGCCGCCAGCUCGUCCUGUGGCAGCCACCUGCAAGGUCACCUGGAAGGCAGGCACCGCGGAGCAGCCAUACCUUUCUCCUUGAUGGUGAAGCUGUGCACUGGGCUCUCCAUGGGCAGCUUCCCAUUGGGGAUGCUGCUGUUCCUCUGUGGACAAGCACAGGGCCUUACAUUCGCAACCCGUGUUCAGGCCCAAGCCUGCCAGGACCGUCUCCCUCCGAGGAGGUUCCGAGGGUCUCCGCCCAGGGGCCAUUCGGUGCUGCUGCGCCCACUGACCCGGCCCGGGCGACCGACCUUCAUCCCAAGAUCCAUGGCCCUCCAGCCUUGGAUCGGACCCCCAGACACCCGUC